GGAAUGUGGAAGGUCUUCAUCAACCAGAUCUUCAAAAAUAAAGAGUCAAUAAGGACACAAAUGAACUACUCUUCAGAGCCACCUUUUAGUCACAAGCCAAAUGCCUUGCUUGAGAAGAAAUGUUACACAGUAAUAGUAAUUUAGUAUCAGAGCAGGCCUGGGUCUGACCUUGGAGGUGACUUCACUUUCGAGGUGCUGCCUGACAAUGAAGCACCUGAGAGAACAGAAAGUGUGCCCCAUUUCCCUACCUUGCUUCUGCACCCCGAAUACCACGUGACUGGAACAGACGGAGUGGUGGAGCGGGUCUGCUUUCAUUAAUACUCCUUCAGGGUGUGGGUCCAAUUGUCCUGCUUCUUUGCGUCCGGAGCGUCUUCAGUCUAGGGAUCAUUCAGCCCCACUGUUCCAGUGACCGUCUCUGAGGAUUCCACUAGACGCCCCGUGUGUCACAGCGCCCUUCCACUCUUGCUGCGACUGUGCCGACGACUCUCCUAGCCCUGUUUUACUGCUUAGUAAUAGGAUUCUCAAAGCCAAUAAGCCUGAGAACAGUAUAAACAAGAUCAAGCAUUUUCAACUGUGGCUAAGUCUGACUCACCUGUAGAACUUCAAAAAAAUUCAGAUACAUGACCCUGUACCACCAGCAAAUCUACAAUUCAAGAGCCCAGGCAGCACUUCACAGGUAUACUAGAAAGCACCGCAGCCGACAGGCUCAUCCUAACUGCUGAUGGCUGUACAGGACUCAGCAUCCGAGCAGUGGCCGGCCCGACAAAUGCUUCCAUCAGCAUGAAGGGACACAGUGGAGAUGACAGGAAACGUGGCUACUACAAAGUGAAGGCUUUCGCAAAAAUGAAGAAAUCAUGGGUAGCUCCUUUUACCACUGAGCUUGUCAUUUUAAGCUCUCCUUCACACUUCCAAAAGCAUGCUAUAAAUAUAAAUGAAUUGACUAAUAUUUUGUACAUGUCAUUUGGCUAACUCACAAAUAUCCAACUGAGACAAACACCACUUAGCACCUCUGGCGGUGGCGUGUUUGUUAGUCCCAGACAGAGAGCAGACAUUCACAUAUGUUCUGGUUUUAUGAACGAAAUGCUCAGUCCGCUAAGUAUGCUCCUAAAUCUGUGGUAAAGGUGCUUUCACAGG